rnacentral:rRNA from 1 species
UACGGAGGGUGCAAGCGUUAAUCGGAAUUAUUGGGCGUAAAGCGCGCGCAGGCGGGAUGGUAAGUCGGAUGUGAAAGCCCUCGGCUCAACCGAGGAAGUGCGUUCGAAACUACUGUUCUUGAGUGUCGGAGAGGGUGGCGGAAUUCCCGGUGUAGAAGUGAAAUUCGUAGAUAUCGGGAGGAACACCAGAGGCGAAGGCGGCCACCUGGACGAACACUGACGCUGAGGCGCGAAAGCGUGGGGAGCAAACAGG